rnacentral:tRNA from 3 species
UGGAAUGUAGCUCAGUGGUAGAGCAGUAGCCUUAUAAGCUAUGUGCCGCAGGUUCGAUUCCUGCCAUUCCGA